GAUAUUCAGAGGCUAGGUGG
rnacentral:miRNA from 1 species